UACGGAGGGGGCUAGCGUUGUUCGGAAUUACUGGGCGUAAAGGGCGCGUAGGCGGCACGGCAAGUCGGGAGUGAAAGCCCGGGGCUCAACCCCGGAGGGUCUUCCGAAACUGCCGAGCUAGAGUGCGGAAGAGGCAACCGGAAUUCCCAGUGUAGCGGUGAAAUGCGUAGAUAUUGGGAAGAACACCGGAGGCGAAGGCGGGUUGCUGGGCCGACACUGACGCUGAGGCGCGAAAGCCAGGGGAGCAAACGGG
rnacentral:rRNA from 1 species